GGGGAUGAUCGGUUUCGAUGGUCGCUCUAAAAUACCACGGCAAGCGGUCAGCGCGCAGACCUGACCUAAAACCAUCCGCGCAAAACGUAAGUGCAAACUUACUUGCUAAAGUGAAGGGCGCAGUGAAGAAUGUCUUUACGGUGCCGACACUGGCAACCGCUUUCGCAUAACAUUUGUGGAAGCCAUCGCCUCCGCGAUACUCGGUAGCGGACAGGCGGUGUCAUAACACCGAGCGUAGGUGCGCGAGGCGUCUGCCCUCCCCCACUGAAAUUACAGCUGACUUGCGCAUGAUUAUGUUGUCCGUUUCUACGCAUGCGUGAAAUUAACAACGGACGAAGCUUGUACAACCGUGCUAUUGGAACGCGAUCACACGCGAGUUCGAUUCUCGCCAUCUCCACCA
rnacentral:tmRNA from 1 species